UAACUGGAGAGUUUGAUUCUGGCUCAGAACGAACGCUGGCGGCGUGCCUAACACAUGCAAGUCGAACGAGAAUGGUCCCUUCGGGGGCCUAGUACAGUGGCGCACGGGUGAGUAAUACGUAGGUGACCUGCCCUUUGCUGGGGAACAACCCCGGGAAACCGAGGCUAAUUCCGCAUAAGCUCCUCAGGUUGCGGCCUGAGGAGGAAAGGUGGCCUCUUCAUGAAAGCUAUCGGCAAAGGAUGGGCCUGCGUCCCAUCAGCUAGUUGGUGAGGUAACGGCUCACCAAGGCUGCAACGGGUAGCUGGUCUGAGAGGAUGAUCAGCCACACUGGAACUGAGACACGGUCCAGACUCCUACGGGAGGCAGCAGUGGGGAAUAUU
rnacentral:rRNA from 1 species